GGAACAGGGUUGACUCUGGCCCUGUUACUGGCUUUUGGGAUCAGAAUCUUCUGUGUCUCCUUGCCCAG
rnacentral:miRNA from 1 species